rnacentral:rRNA from 1 species
CCUACGGGAGGCAGCAGUGAGGAAUAUUGGUCAAUGGGCGCGAGACUGAACCAGCCAAGUAGCGUGAAGGAUGACUGCCCUACGGGUUGUAAACUUCUUUUAUAAAGGAAUAAAGUGAGGCACGUGUGCCUUUUUGUAUGUACCUUAUGAAUAAGGAUCGGCUAACUCCGUGCCAGCAGCCGCGGUAAUACGGAGGAUCCGAGCGUUAUCCGGAUUUAUUGGGUUUAAAGGGAGCGUAGGUGGGUUGUUAAGUCAGUUGUGAAAGUUUGCGGCUCAACCGUAAAAUUGCAAUUGAUACUGGCAGUCUUGAGUACAGUAGAGGUAGGCGGAAUUCGUGGUGUAGCGGUGAAAUGCUUAGAUAUCACGAAGAACUCCGAUUGCGAAGGCAGCUUACUAAACUGCCACUGACAUUGAUGCUCGAAAGUGUGGGUAUCAAACAGGAUUAGAUACCCCGGUAGUC